AGUAAUGGCGAGUGAAGCGGUAACAGCUCAAAUUUGAAAGCUCGCUCUUUUAGGGUGCGCAUUGUAAUUUGUAGAAGAUGCUUCGGGUGUGGCCCCGGUCUAAGUUCCUUGGAACAGGACGUCAUAGAGGGUGAGAAUCCCGUAUGUGACUGGGUGCUUUCGCUCAUGUGAAGCUCUUUCGACGAGUCGAGUUGUUUGGGAAUGCAGCUCAAAAUGGGUGGUAAAUUUCAUCUAAAGCUAAAUAUUGGCCAGAGACCGAUAGCGCACAAGUAGAGUGAUCGAAAGAUGAAAAGCACUUUGGAAAGAGAGUUAAACAGUACGUGAAAUUGUUGAAAGGGAAGCGCUUGCAACCAGACUUGCGCGCUGAUGAUCAUCCGGGCUUCUGCCCGGUGCACUCGUCUGCGCUCAGGCCAGCAUCGGUUUCGGUGGUGGGAUAAAGGCCUUGGGAAUGUAGCUCCUCUCGGGGAGUGUUAUAGCCCUCGGUGCAAUGCCGCCUACCGGGACCGAGGACCGCGCUUCGGCUAGGAUGCUGGCGUAAUGGUUGUAAGCGACCCGUCUUGAAACACGGACCAAGGAGUCUAACAUCUAUGCGAGUGUUUGGGUGUUAAACCCAUACGCGUAAUGAAAGUGAACGGAGGUGAGAACCCUUAAGGGUGCAUCAUCGACCGGUCCUGAUGUCUUCGGAUGGAUCUGAGUAAGAGCAUAGCUGUUGGGACCCGAAAGAUGGUGAACUAUGCGUGAAUAGGGUGAAGCCAGAGGAAACUCUGGUGGAGGCUCGCAGCGGUUCUGACGUGCAAAUCGAUCGUCAAAUUUGCGUAUAGGGGCGAAAGACUAAUCGAACCAUUGACCUCGUCGCUACUAGGUGGUUAAGAGGUAUCUAGAGAAAUACUUAGUCCUACCAAGGGCAACACUGUCAAAUUGCGGGGACGUCCUGUUUUAAAUGCUGAACUACCGCAGCUGCCCUGAAAAGGGCGGUGCGCACCAGGUUAAUGACCUCGGGGAUGGUAAGAACGUUCAGAUAGGGAUGAUCCGCAGCCAAGUCCUACGGGGUCGCAAGACCUACGGAUGCAGUUCACAGACUAAACGAUAGUGGGUCAGGAUCGCCUGGCUUAAGAUAUAGUCGAAUCCCCUGAGAGAUCGGGGGCGGAGCUAUUCAACUC
rnacentral:rRNA from 1 species